rnacentral:tRNA from 1 species
GCCAGCAUGGUGUAAUGGUUUGAGCAUUGGACUGUAACUCUGGAGACCAGGGUUCAACUCCCUGCUCAGCCA